UACGUAGGGAGCAAGCGUUGUUCGGAUUUACUGGGCGUAAAGGGCGCGUAGGCGGCGCGGUAAGUCACUUGUGAAAUCUCUGAGCUUAACUCAGAACGGCCAAGUGAUACUGCAGUGCUAGAGUGCAGAAAGGGCAAUCGGAAUUCUUGGUGUAGCGGUGAAAUGCGUAGAUAUCAAGAGGAACACCUGAGGCGAAGGCGGGUUGCUAGGCUGACACUGGCGCUGAGUGCGCGAAAGCCAGGGGAGCAAACGGG
rnacentral:rRNA from 1 species